GAGAGAAUGACUGACAGCUGAACGAGUGGAACCUUUGAAUGUGAAACUCAAAGGAAAGAUGGGAAGCGUGUUUGUGCAGGUCCCAAGGGGGGAAAAGCCUGGGUUUCACACACACACACACACACACACGCACGCACGCACGCACGCACGCACACACACACACACACACACACACACACACACACACAUUGUGAUCUUGCUCUACUUUGGGCUGUGCUCCACAUGAAAGCGCCGAUGCUUCCUGCUGUUUGAGACGAGCUGUGUGUUGCGCUGCAAAAGAACAUGCGUGUCUGUAUACACAUGGACAGGCCUGUGUGGAGACGAGAGCAGUUACAGGAGGAUCAAAAGCAUAUUUCAAGGCAGAUGAACUCACUUAUUACUCAGUCCGGUCAUUGAGGUCUUCUUUCAUCCAAACAAAAAACAGUUAUGUCCUUCCUCGCAAGACAACUGUGUCUCUAUUUGAGAUGACACUCGGUCAGUCAAGGGUGUUCACUUGCUACGCUGACCUCCCUGCUCACCACAUCAGGCCUGGCUUGAGUACACCCUGUGACCUUUCUGCGCGUUGAUGACGUUGUCUGUCCAGAAGAGGGAGUGAUUGAUCUGGAUUGACACAAACAGCCAGUGCCCUGCCUGGCCUGUCACACAGCAUCACUGGGUCGUUGUAGCAUGCCUGAAUGCCAGAUGAGGAGGGAUGGAGAACACACAGGGUGGUGACCUGCUGACUAUGGUGUAGGCCACAGAGUUGGGGGAAAAGGCUGUGCUGGAUUAACACGGUCCAACUGAUGCUAGAUUUUUCAGGCAGAUAUAGAUAAAGCCCUAGUCAUCUGACGAUUGAAAAACAAUCUAACAGCUGAUACCAGCUUUUUAUACCAACACAUAGCACACAUUUUUUUUGUUUGUUUUUUUAAGGAAGUGGAACGAUUUGACCCAUAAAUGUAUCAGUGAUCUAUGAUAACCAAACGAUGUAAUGUCAUUACCAUUUGAAAACCAUCUCUAACAUGUCUUUUUUCACAUUUUUCUGUACUGCAAUUUGAUGGCCAACAUAUACACCAAUGCCAAUAAAUACAUGCGAUAUAAAACAAAAUAGGCCCAGCUAAUUUGUUAGACAUACUCUGCUGGUUCAAGGUCUAUUCGUCCAUCAUCACCACUGUGUUUAUGAACCACAAUGCUUGUGUGACAACCAUCGGGCAUUUGACUGUUUUCAUACUAUACAUCUGACAGAAUCUUGGCCUAAAGAGAGAUAGUUGGACUAUUUUUAUGAUUUUUUUCUAACCAUGGCUUAUGUCGUUCAUUUUAUAUUAAAGGAUUUUUUUUUUUGCAAUGGGAUUUUUGCCCAUUGCAACCCAAAUUCAAAUCAUUAAAAAUGAACUUGUCUAUUCAUUUAUUCAUUUAUUUUUUCUCCAACACUUAGUGUAAUCUCAC
ensembl:lncRNA